rnacentral:rRNA from 1 species
CACGUAGGGCGCAAGCGUUGUCCGGAAUUAUUGGGCGUAAAGAGCGUGUAGGCGGCUAGGUAGGUGGGUUGUGAAAACUGGAGGCUCAACCUUCAGACGUCGACCCAAACCCCCUGGCUAGAGUCCGGAAGAGGAGAGUGGAAUUCCUGGUGUAGCGGUGAAAUGCGCAGAUAUCAGGAAGAACACCCGUGGCGAAGGCGGCUCUCUGGGACGGUACUGACGCUGAGACGCGAAAGCGUGGGGAGCGAACAGG